AGAGCUCGCCCAGCUCUGAGGCGCAGGAAUUCAAUAAAGAAGAUGGCAGCUCUCACUCCAAGGAAGAGGAAGCAGGAUUUUUUGAACUGUGACAGCCUUUUGCUCUUCACUGAAAAUCUGUUUCCAUCACCUAAUAAAAAGCAGUGUUUUUAUCAAAACAGUGAUAAAAAUGAAGAAAACCUGCAUUUCUCUCAACAAGGGCAUUUUGUUUUAAGUGCACUCAAAACAUCUGAAAUAAAUAGACGGCCAUCAGCAAAUCAAGGCUCACCAUUUAAAUCUGCUGCGUCCACUGUAUCUUUUUACAACCAAAAUAAGCGGUACCUCAAUCCAUUGGAGAGGAAGCUGAUAAAAGAGAGAUCUACUUAUCUAAAAAAUAAUGUUGAAGAUAAAUCUUUUCCCAUUGUGACAGAAAAAAUGCAGGGAAAACCAGUCUGCCCCAAGAAGAACAACAAAAAGCCGCAGAACAGUUUAACUGCGAAGUAUCAACCAAGGUAUAGACACAUCAAGACUGUAUCAAGGAAUCCUAAAAAUUCCAAGCAAAAUCGAGUAGUCUGUAAGCUAGUUGUGGAGAAAGAGAAUAAUUGCUAUUCAGCUGAAAAUAAUCCCAAUGCUCCUCGGGUUCUAAGCCAAAAAAUGAAAGCACAAGUUACACUCCAGGGUGGAGCAGCAUUUUUUGUUAGUAGAAAAAAAUCCUCUCUUAGAAAAUGGUCCAUGGAAAAUGAGCCAUCACUGGGACUCACCCAAAAGAAUAAAUCAGAAUUGAUUGAAGAUUCUGAUGUAGAGACUGUCAGGGAAAAAAAAACACUUGAGACAAGGCAAGUGCCAAAGUGCUUGUUCCUAGAAGAGAAAUUGAACAUUGAGCUACUGAAUGCAAGCAGUAAAAAUCAAGAGAAAUUAAUAAAGGACUCAUCAGGUGACAGCGUUUCUCCAAAGGAAUAUGAAGUUGAUAAAAAUAAGUCUUUUCCUUCAGAGGAUUCUCUUGGUGAGAAGGCAAUUUCUCCUAAGUCCACUGUCUAUCCAAUCUUCAAUGCAUCUUCAGUCAAUUCGAAAAGAUCUUUAGGUGAAGAACAGUCUUCUGUGGGAUCUGUCAACUUCUUGAAACAGACCAAUAUUCAGAAAAAUACUAACACCAGAGAUACGAGUAAAAAAACAAAAGACCAACUCGUCAUUGACGCUGGUCAGAAACAUUUUGGGGCUACUGUGUGUAAGUCUUGUGGCAUGAUAUAUACUGCUUCCAACCCUGAAGAUGAAAUGCAACAUGUACAGCAUCACCACAGAUUUCUGGAAGGAAUCAAAUAUGUGGGUUGGAAGAAAGAACAUGUAGUAGCAGAGUUUUGGGAUGGGAAAAUCGUGUUGGUUCUACCACGUGAUCCAAGCUUUGCUAUCAAAAAGGUAGAAGAUGUCCUAGAACUUGUUGAUAAUGAAUUGGGCUUCCAGCAAGUUGUUCCUAAAUGUCCAAACAAAAUAAAAUUUUUCUUUUUAUAUCUGAUGAAAAGCAAGUAGUUGGGUGUUUAAUUGCAGAACCCAUCAAACAGGCCUUUCGUGUCCUGUCUGAACCAACUGGUAUGCAAUCCCCAAACUCUAAAGAAUGUCCUAGGGCUUGGCAAUGUUCAGAUGUACCAGAACCUGCAGUCUGUGGGAUAAGUAGAAUCUGGGUUUUCAGAUUGAAGAGAAGAAAGCGCAUUGCAAGACAACUGGUUGAUACUCUCAGGAAUUGCUUCAUGUUUGCCUGUUUUCUCAGCUCUGAUGAAAUAGCAUUUUCUGACCCAACACCAGAUGGCAAGUUAUUUGCAACAAAGUACUGUAACACUCCUAAUUUUCUUAUAUAUAAUUUUAAUAGUUAAAGCUGAUUUCAGUUAUAAAGCAGUUACUAUCUGGAUAAGUUCAGAGAGAUCUUUAUUAUAAAAUACAAACUAUU